GGAUAUGUCUCAUAUUGAAGAAUCGCAUGAUUUAAGAAAAUCAUGUAUCUAAUUAGCAAAAUUAAUGGCUUAAGAGUGAUUCAUGGUUUAUUGAUAUCAUGCCAUAUAUAUCUUUUAUCUCUUCUAUUACAAAUAUAAAAUCAUGUAUUAUGUGAAACAAUACAAGUGAAUGAAAUGCAAUCCUUUUGAGCUCUCAUUAUUUUUCCCAAACUUUUCUAUCAUUCUAAAUUUUAGUAUGCCAAGAGUUUGAGUCCCAAGCUAUUUUUCUCCCAUAAUUUCUUUCUUCUUCAUUUUAGCCUAGGGCUUGACUUCCAAAGCUAUUUUUCUCCAAAAUUCCCCUUCAUGGCUCAAAGCCUAGGCAUUGAGUCCUUAUUCUAAACUUCUCAUUCCUAUUCUUUUUUCUAUUUUUCUCCUCUAUUUCUUUUCAAGAAACAAAUCUAGAAGUACACAUAUUCAAAGCACCACUCCAGGACAUCAUUUAAGUCUCACUGCCCACCUAGAUAAGAGCACUAGCCACCAACAAGGUCACCACCAAAAGCCCAUCGCUGAAGAAGGCAUGCAUGAAGUCCAAGCACUCUCUCUUUCUUUCCGCCUCAAAUCCACACGCUAAUGUGUUACAUCACUUUCAACCUCCACUUGAAUCCUAAGGAAAAAGAACCCCUUCUUGUCUCUUUGCCUCUAAGUUUUCGUUUCAAAUUUAAAGCUAAUUUAAAAAAAAUUAAAAAAUAAGAAAGAGGAAGCUUAAUGAUUUAUCCAUAACUUCAACAAAAAUCUCAUCAAUAAGGAGAGUUGAAAUUGAUGAGAUUUUCCUUUAAUUCAUGGGAUAUGUCUCAUGUUGAAUAAUCUCAUGAUUAUGGGAAAAUUGAGUAUUUCAUUAGCAAAAUUAACGGCUUAGGAGUGAUUUAUGGUUUAUUAAUAUCAUGCCAUAUAUAUCUUAUAUCUUAUAUCUUCCAUUAUAAAUA
rnacentral:misc_RNA from 1 species